rnacentral:lncRNA from 1 species
AAUUGCGAGAAUUUGGGAAGGGAAUCUUUAUCUUCUCGUCUAGUUCUCCGAGGUUGAAGGCUCGGCCUGCUCAGAGAAGGAAACUGAGGUCCACCGAGUUGGAGAAACCUACUCAACACCAGGACUAACUUCUUCAGUGCUUAGAGUGUGAGAAAAAUGGCAAAUAUGAAUAGUGAUUCUAGGCAUCUUGGCACCUCUGAGGUAGAUCAUGAAAGAGAUCCUGGACCUAUGAAUAUCCAGUUUGAGCCAUCGGAUCUAAGAUCCAAAAGACAGGGUCUCACUCUGUAGCCCACACUGGAGUGUGAUGGUGCAAUCAUGGCUUGCUGCAGCCUUGAUCUCCUGGGCUGAAGCAGUCCUCCCACUUCAGCCUCCUGAGUAGCUGGGACUACAGGAUUGGAUAAAUAAGUUGUGGCACAUUUAUACAAUGGAAUAUUUUUUCCUCUUAAAAAGGAGGUGGCUUUAUUACAUAUCAAAAUGGAACAAGUCUUCAACUUAUUUUGUUAAGUGAAAAAUUGAAGUACAGAGCAGUGUGUAUAGUAUGCCACCAUUUGGGUAAAAAUAAAUAAAUAUAAUAUGUAUAAAUGAAGUUUUGGGUAGUAAAUAGGAAACUGUAAGAUGGUUGCCCCCUCAGAGGGAAACUGAGUGCUUUAGGCGGGAUGGUGUGGCAGAUACUGUUAGGUAGACACCCAACAAUUAAUCAGCAACCCUACCUAUUCCUUAAUGUCAACAGAAUCCUUAUUUUUUUGAGUCACAAUGGGUCUUCAUCCAAGAGAUGAAAGAUGGUUGGUUUAAGCUAAUCUUGAUAAUCCUAUUUUCAUUCGCACAUACUUAAGUUUUUAGUCUUUCUUAAAACUAGAGGUGGAAAUGUGAAAUUUAUCACAUGAGAAAUUUAUCAUUGUCAUUUAUAGUGGCCAUCAGAAAAGAUAAUGAAAUAAGACUUUUGAUUCUUA